rnacentral:rRNA from 1 species
AACGAACGCUGGCGGCGUGCCUAACACAUGCAAGUCGAGCGGUCCAUGGGUUUCGGCCCAUGGGUAGCGGCAGACGGGUGAGUAACACGUGGGUAACCUGUCCCUAGGUGGGGGAUAACCACUCGAAAGGGUGGCUAAUACCGCAUAAGACCCCAGGUUUUCGGAUCGGAGGUCAAAGGCGCAAGUCGCCGAGGGAGGGGCCCGCGGCCGAUUAGCUAGUUGGUAGGGUAAUGGCCUACCAAGGCAGUGAUCGGUAGCUGGUCUGAGAGGAUGAUCAGCCACACUGGUACUGAGACACGGACCAGACUCCUACGGGAGGCAG